rnacentral:rRNA from 1 species
UACGGGGGGAGCAAGCGUUGUUCGGAAUUACUGGGCGUAAAGAGCUCGUAGGCGGCUUGUCGCGUCGAAUGUGAAAACUCGGGGCUCAACUCCGAGCUUGCAUUCGAUACGGGCAGGCUAGAGUUCGGUAGGGGAGACUGGAAUUCCUGGUGUAGCGGUGAAAUGCGCAGAUAUCAGGAGGAACACCGGUGGCGAAGGCGGGUCUCUGGGCCGAUACUGACGCUGAGGAGCGAAAGCGUGGGGAGCGAACAGG